GCAUGUGUGCGUGUGCGUGUGCGUGCACAUGUGUUUGUGUGUGUGUCUACGAGAGACCGAGGUGUCAGUUGUAGGACAAUCAGGUUAGCUGUAACAGACUGUGCUGUGAUGAGAUUGAAGCUGAAGUGCUUUUAAAAGCAUUGAUUUGGACGCUUAUCGAGGGAAAGCCACUCCCACACCAAGUGAAGAGUAAUCCCUUUUUCUCUGAACUGCAGAAAAGUUAAAGCGCUGUUCACCUCGGCUCAAACUAAAUUUAGCUCCGUUAACAGAAGCUGUAAAACAGAAUGGGUAACAUGAGCACAUCCUUUCCAUUCUGUCACAGCGCCGCUAAUACCAGCAAAGUUGUCCUGGCGUGUUGUGCAGGCUUCAUGCUUGUUCAUGUUACACUUGUCAAAGACAGCCUGUCUGCAACCGGCUGUUACCAUGGAAACAGAGAACUGACGAAUACAGCGAGAACGAGGUGAAUGACUACCAGAGAGAAUGCUGCUCCAGGGCUUUGGAGGGCUGUUUUCAAUCUCAAAUAACACUAAGCAGAGCAGGUCAAAUCUAUGACUGAAGCUGAAACUGACGCCCUGAAUGUUGAUCAGCACACUCCUCUCACUGUGCAGGAACGCCAACAAUGAGAGUUUCUGAGCAGUAACAUGGACACGAUGGUGUUGAUCUACUCAGACCAGAAGGACCGAAGCUAGCAAUCAUGGAGGGCUGCUGCAAGCUGAAGCAGGUCUCAUACAGAUGAAAAGGUGGAGGAGAGAUGGAUGGAUGGGUACCC